GAUGAACGCUGGCGGCGUGCCUAAUACAUGCAAGUCGAGCGAACGGACGAGAAGCUUGCUUCUCUGAUGUUAGCGGCGGACGGGUGAGUAACACGUGGAUAACCUACCUAUAAGACUGGGAUAACUUCGGGAAACCGUAGCUAAUACCGGAUAAUAUUUUGAACCGCAUGGUUCAAAAGUGAAAGACGGUCUUGCUGUCACUUAUAGAUGGAUCCGCGCUGCAUUAGCUAGUUGGUAAGGUAACGGCUUACCAAGGCAACGAUGCAUAGCCGACCUGAGAGGGUGAUCGGCCACACUGGAACUGAGACACGGUCCAGACUCCUACGGGAGGCAGCAGUAGGGAAUCUUCGGCAAUGGGCGAAAGCCUGACGGAGCAACGCCGCGUGAGUGAUGAAGGUCUUCGGAUCGUAAAACUCUGUUAGUAGGGAAGAACAUAUGUGUAAGUAACUGUGCACAUCUUGACGGUACCUAAUCAGAAAGCCACGGCUAACUACGUG
rnacentral:rRNA from 1 species